GUUUUUAUUGACUGCUCACUCUUCUCUUUCUGACCACUAUUUUUCUGGAAGUCACUUACAGCCCCUCUCAGAAGGAAUUGUCAGCACAAACAAUGCAGAUUGCAAAGUGAGGAAACCCAAAACAAAGGCACGUGCUCAAAUCUCCCAGGUGUACUAAGUGGGAGAAAGACAUCAAAUAGGUAAGGAGCACCAUGAACAAAGAUCUGAUACCUACGUGAAAUGACCUGAUCCAAGAUAUUUAUGUAUGUCUUUGAAAUGCUCAUGGUGAUAAUCAGGCAGCAAGAGGAAAUGAAUACACAAUUCAAGAGAAACUUCAAAGAGAACGUGGA